rnacentral:lncRNA from 1 species
CUGAGUCACUGGGUGGACAGCUGCCUGGGACCGUUACCCACACUCACAGAAGAUUUUAUGUGUAAGGCAAAUAUAUUUUUGUGUGCUAAGCUAAUGAGAUUUUGGGAUUUUGUUGUGGUAGUUGUUACUUCAGCUUAGACUAAUUUAUCUUGACUAAUAUAAUAACUGCAUAAUUUGAGAGUGAAAUAAGAGAAGGGUAAAUUCUCAACCAUUAUAGGAAGUAGCCUUGUGAAAGCUUAAGUCAUUUCUAGUUCUUACCCAUUUUGGAGGCUUCUCAGGCAACAACAAAGAGACUUCAAAGGCUUGAUGGCAGAAUGCCCAUCUUGCGGGUCCCUGAUGGUCACAUAGGAGCCACAAGGGCCUGGUAAACGUUGUCAGGACACUCCUGAUUUCCCACCAGAGGGAGAAUAGCCUCCAGUUAGGAGCUAGUCUCAUCAGUUAACAGAGUGAAGAAUGUCAGUUGGAAAAUAUCAGCUCCUAAGGUCAGCUCGAGGCACCAGCCACACAGUGGGACACCCGUGAAGGUGGGUUGAUAGGGAGCUCUGAAAGCCUGAAGAAGAGGCACAGAGCCCCUAUUGAGAACCUUCUGAAAGGCUGACCUCACAACAGAGCCCUCUGAGGCUCUCACCACACCUGAUCCAGCAUCUGGCACACAGCAGCAUUCCAGCCAAUGACAAAUGCACAAAACCAAACAAAGGACAGUCUUGGAGGAAGUUUCUGACAGGCCUUACAGGUGCCCCAGGCCUCUUCUGAAGGAACAUUGACCGGCCGUGGCAUUGAGGCAUCAGGCUGGACGGGGAGGUGGUUGCUGCCCAGGGCCCGUCCCCCGCCCGCCCUGCUUGCUGCUCAAGUGACCAGACCCUCCAGGCUGCCAGCACACCUCUCAUCUUGCAAAUCUCUUUUUGCUUCUCAAAUUAAUUUUGGAUCCCCUUAAANUCUGCCCUGGUCCUCCACCCGCCCUGCUUGCUGCUCAAGUGACCAGACCCUCCAGGCUGCCAGCACACUUCUCAUCUUGCAAAUCUCUUUUUGCUUCUCAAAUUAAUUUUGGAUCCCCUUAAAU